rnacentral:misc_RNA from 1 species
GAUGAAGAACGUAGCGAAAUGCGAUAAGUAAUGUGAAUUGUAGAAUUCAGUGAAUCAUCGAAUCUUUGAACGCACAUUGCGCCCGCCAGUAUUCUGGCGGGCAUGCCUGUUCGAGCGUCAUUACAACCCUCAGGCCCCCGGGCCUGGCGUUGGGGAUCGGCGGAGCCCCCCGUGGGCACACGCCGUCCCCCAAAUACAGUGGCGGUCCCGCCGCAGCUUCCAUCGCGUAGUAGCUAACACCUCGCGACUGGAGAGCGGCGCGGCCACGCCGUAAAACACCCAACUCUUCUGAAGUUGACCUCGAAUCAGGUAGGAAUACCCGCUGAACUUAAGCAUAUCAAUAAGCGGAGGA